rnacentral:tRNA from 1 species
GCGCCCGUAGCUCAACUGGAUAGAGCAUCCGCCUUCUAAGCGGACGGUUGCAGGUUCGAGUCCUGCCGGGCGCACCA